AACCGAUACAGAAAUCAUUUUAUGUUGAUGUUGACACGGAAUGAUAAAUAAUUGAAAGUCAGCGUUAGAGAUGGAUGGAAAGAAAAGAAGGAGGCAAAAGCUUUUUGCGUUCCUUUUUUUGUUGUUUGUUGUGGUGUAGGCAAAGGGUCAGUUCUCAUCAUUCGUUCCAGCUAGACACAGACAU
ensembl:ncRNA W05E10.21 ncRNA